rnacentral:rRNA from 2 species
CUCUAAGGUGACUGCCGGUGACAAACCGGAGGAAGGUGGGGAUGACGUCAAAUCAUCAUGCCCCUUAUGACCUGGGCUACACACGUGCUACAAUGGACGGUACAAAGAGCUGCAAGACCGCGAGGUGGAGCUAAUCUCAUAAAACCGUUCUCAGUUCGGAUUGUAGGCUGCAACUCGCCUACAUGAAGCUGGAAUCGCUAGUAAUCGCGGAUCAGCAUGCCGCGGUGAAUACGUUCCCGGGCCUUGUACACACCGCCCGUCACACCACGAGAGUUUGUAACACCCGAAGUCGGUGGGGUAACCUUUAUGGAGCCAGCCGCCUAAGGUGGGACAGAUGAUUGGGGUGAAGUCGUAACAAGGUAGCCGUAUCGGAAGGUGCGGCUGGAUCACCUCCUUU